GCAGUCGAGCGGUAACAUUUCUAGCUUGCUAGAAGAUGACGAGCGGCGGACGGGUGAGUAAUGCUUGGGAAUAUGCCUUAUGGUGGGGGACAACAGUUGGAAACGACUGCUAAUACCGCAUAAUGUCUACGGACCAAAGGGGGGGAUCUUCGGACCUCUCGCCAUUUGAUUAGCCCAAGUGAGAUUAGCUAGUUGGUGAGGUAAUCGCUCACCAAGGCGACGAUCUCUAGCUGGUUUGAGAGGAUGAUCAGCCACACUGGGACUGAGACACGGCCCAGACUCCUACGGGAGGCAGCAGUGGGGAAUAUUGCACAAUGGGCGCAAGCCUGAUGCAGCCAUGCCGCGUGUGUGAAGAAGGCCUUCGGGUUGUAAAGCACUUUCAGUAAGGAGGAAAGGGAUGUAGUUAAUAACUGCAUUCUGUGACGUUACUUACAGAAGAAGCACCGGCUAACUUCGUGCCAGCAGCCGCGGUAAUACGAGGGGUGCAAGCGUUAAUCGGAAUUACUGGGCGUAAAGCGUUCGUAGGCGGUUGAUUAAGCAAGAUGUGAAAGCCCAGGGCUCAACCUUGGAACUGCAUUUUGAACUGGUCAACUAGAGUACUGUAGAGGGUGGUGGAAUUUCCA
rnacentral:rRNA from 1 species